rnacentral:rRNA from 9 species
CCGGAUUUAUUGGGUUUAAAGGGUUCGUAGGCGGGGUAUUAAGUCAGUGGUGAAAGCCCACAGCUCAACUGUGGAACUGCCAUUGAUACUGGUACUCUUGAGUAUAGUAGAAGUUAGCGGAAUGUGUCAUGUAGCGGUGAAAUGCUUAGAUAUGACCCAGAACACCGAUUGCGAAAGCAGCUAACUAUGUUAUUACUGACGCUGAGGAACGAAAGCGUGGGGAGCGAACAGGA